CCUACCGAGGAGCGCUGCAAGGAUCCCGGGCGGCAGCACCGCCCGACACCCCAGGCUCGGACCGUUUCAACGGCGCUCAUCCGAC
rnacentral:ncRNA from 2 species